GCUAGUGUGUCAUAGUGGUUUGAGUGUUGGACUACGACUCUGGAGACCAGGGUUUGAUUCCCUGCUCAGCC